CAGUCGCCGCGGGAAAACGAAGAGGGCUAGCGUUGUUCGGAAUUACUGGGCGUAGAGGGCGCGUAGGCGGCCAUUCAAGUUAGAUGUGAAAGCCCUGGGCUCAACCUAGGAAUUGCAUUUGAUACUGUUUGGCUUGAGUUCGGGAGAGGUGAGUGGAAUUCCCAGUGUAGAGGUGAAAUUCGUAGAUAUUGGGAAGAACACCAGUGGCGAAGGCGGUUCACUGGACCGACACUGACGCUGAGGCGCGAAAGCGUGGGGAGCAAACAGGAUUAGAUACCCCCGUAGUCCCUGUCUCUUAUAC
rnacentral:rRNA from 1 species